rnacentral:rRNA from 1 species
AGAGCGAACGCUGGCGGCAGGCCUAAUACAUGCAAGUCGAACGAACCCUUCGGGGUUAGUGGCGGACGGGUGAGUAACACGUGGGAACGUGCCCUUUGGUUCGGAACAACUCAGGGAAACUUGAGCUAAUACCGGAUAAGCCCUUCGGGGGAAAGAUUUAUCGCCAUUGGAGCGGCCCGCGUCUGAUUAGCUAGUUGGUGAGGUAAAGGCUCACCAAGGCUUCGAUCAGUAGCUGGUCUGAGAGGAUGAUCAGCCACACUGGGACUGAGACACGGCCCAGACUCCUACGGGAGGCAGCAGUAGGGAAUCUUGCGCAAUGGGCGAAAGCCUGACGCAGCCAUGCCGCGUGAAUGAUGAAGGUCUUAGGAUUGUAAAAUUCUUUCAGCGGGGACGAUAAUGACGGUACCCGCAGAAGAGCCCGGCUAACUUCGCGCCAGCAGCCGC